AUUGAACGCUGGCGGCAGGCCUAACACAUGCAAGUCGAGCGGGGUUUUCGGACCUAGCGGCGGACGGGUGAGUAAUGCGUAGGAAGCUACCCGAUAGAGGGGGAUACCAGUUGGAAACGACUGUUAAUACCGCAUAAUGUCUACGGACCAAAGUGUGGGACCUUCGGGCCACAUGCUAUCGGAUGCGCCUACGUGGGAUUAGCUAGUUGGUGAGGUAAUGGCUCACCAAGGCGACGAUCCCUGGCUGGUUUGAGAAGACGAUCAGCCACACUGGAAAUGAGACACGAUCCAGACUCCUACGGGAGGCAGCAGUGGGGAAUAUUGGACAAUGGGCGCAAGCCUGAUCCAGCCAUGCCGCGUGUGUGAAUGAGGCCUUCGGGUUGUAAAGCACUUUCAGUAGGGAGGAAGCGUUGUGUGUUAAUAGUACACAGCGUUGACGUUACCUACAGAAGAAGCACCGGCUAACUCUGUGCCAGCCGCCGCCGUAAAAC
rnacentral:rRNA from 1 species